AUUGAGUUCCUGAUGGGCGUGAUGGCUACUAAUUUAUUUAGUGGCCCUGUCGAUAAAAAGCAACAGUAAGCCUGAGGCCAAAGGAUAUAAUGUACCUACAUGACCUAUCUUUUUUAGCUUUAACAGAGAACGGACCUUUUAUACUACAUCAAAAGAAGUAAAACCCGGUGGCUUAUAGACCAUAAGAAUAGCAUCUGAGUAGGCCUCAAAAUGCAACCAGCUCAACGGGACUAAUUCUUUUGCGAUUGACCAUAGUUGGUUACCAUAUACCAUGAACAUUGAGCAGAAAUUUCACUACCUGUAGUCGAUAAAGCAACGACGCAAUAUGCAGGUAGGUAGGCUAUUUUCAUAUUAUCCCUAUAGUUGAUAUCUAUUUGUUUAGAUUGGAUAAACAAAUCCAUUACAUCCAAAUGACCUUGUAAUAAGGCAUAAUGCAAAAGCGUAUACUAUUGCUGAUCAACAACAUCAAUCCGGGCUUAUAAAGAAGCGAUUUCAAGUAGUUUUACCAAUUUUGUAUACCCUUCCCUAGAAGCCAUAUGCAGCAGUGAACAUUUAAAAUAGUUUUCAUGUUCUUUGUAAAUCAGUUGCUCAUUAGGGUCACUCCUAGGAAAUAUUUGACAACAACUGCUACAUUGUUGAUUGGGUUGUGCAUCCAUUCUUUUAUAAACAGAUGAUGGAACGGCAGAACAAUCCUCUUGUACAUUGAAAGGUGGAGAAUUUGUAUUAGAAAUAGUUCUUCUUACAAGAGGCUACCAAAAAAGGAUGGAACAAACCAGACGGGUAAAAAGCUAGAACUUUUCGAUUUAUAUGUGCCAUAUACAUACCUGUUUAAUCAUUAGAUUUUUUGCAUCAUUCUACCUCUGCUUAUAAUUUGGGUUUCAAAACUUGCCUUACAGAAAAAAAUGCUGCAAAAAGUCUUUCAUAACUGAAAAACAAGAAACUGUAUAGAGGAGAAGUUAUUACAACAUACCCUCUCUGGGAUACUAGAUACGAAAAAAUAAUCAAAUAGCCUUAAAUAGUAUAUUUUUUUCUUUUUUGGGUAUAAUAGUCUUUAAAAGUAGAACGAUUCAAUGUUUUUGCCAGGUAUUUUAAAAAGUUUCCCCCAAUGGCCCCAUCUAUGAUGCGGUGAUCAUAGGUAUGGGAUAAAAACAUUUCAUCACGAAUGGCUAUGGUCUCUUUCCCUUGAACAUCGACUACAGCGGGCCUCCUUUCAAUAGCUUUCAAUAGACUUAAAUGGCCACUUGUGGUUGAACGAUAAUGGAUGUACCCCUUAGGUUAUCGAAAGAGCCAAUAUUGGAAAAAGGGUAUAACUACCUCCAUUUAGCUCAUCGCCCGUAAGGCUACCACUCUGUGCUCUUUUAAUUAAGGCAUCUAUUUGUCUUGCUAGGGCAACGAAAUCCAAUGAUUCUACCUGAUUGACUACAGGAACGAUCAUUUUACCAUAUUGUAGAGCUACCGCAAAACCAAUAAUCGUCUUCAACGAUGGUAUUGAGUAAUGGAAAGGCUUGCAAAGCACGUGCCGUUACAGCCAUACAAAUAGGAAAAUAGGUUAAGUUCAGAUAACAUUGAAUUUUGAAAGCCUCUUUAACUUGUUUUCUCCAAUAAGCCACUAUAUCGGUUACAUCUAACCGUAUAAAAGAGGUCACACGGGGAGCUAUUCUUUCAGAUCCAACCAUGCGAUGGGCAAUCAACUUUCUUACACGAUCCAUCGCUAUGACUUGGUCUCCUUCCCAUGAGGCAACUUCAGGCAGGUAUUUAUUCCAUAGUUACAGGAAUAAUUGUAUAAUUUAGAUGAUGAGGAAAAGAGAUGGUAAUAUGAUGAGAUUAUGACAUGAGAUUAUAGAUGAUGAGAAGAGAUGAUAGAUUAUGGGAUUAUUAUUGAUAAGCCCGUUUUGUCAGCAUAAAGAGAGACGUUCUACGAAACCUAAGGGCGGGACGAAGUGGAGGAGUUUGAGGUGAUUUCGAACGAUUCUUUAUGUAUUUAAAAUUUACAUUAUGUUAAUCCGUUAGCUAGACAAUUCCACGCAUUUUCAAAUGCUAUUUACACGAAGAAAAUUUACCUCAUUUACAGCCUACCGUCUUAGAUCCGGCCAUGGUUUUGCAACAAGCGAUGAUAGAUGCUGAUUAAUUAAUUAAGAUUAAAUUCUCCAAUUCUAGUCAUUCUAGUCAUAUUUUUUUUAAUUCUCCAAUUCUAGUCAAUUUAGUCAUAAGUAUUUUGUCGUGUAUUUAUCGUGUAUUUAUUCUAGUCAUUUACAUUUAGGGAUUAUCUACCGGGAACAAAUUUUGCAAAUUACCAAAAUUUCGUCCAGGAAACACUACAACCGGGGGGGGGGGGGUGGGGUUUACCCCCACGGUGCUCAAGUGGAAUUAGACAAACUCAUCACAAAAAACAAGUGGAAAAAAAGAGAGAAUACGUAUCCCAAAGGAUACCAACAUGCAUGUACACUGCUGGUGUUCCUCCAAAAUGGAUUAAAAUACAACAUCACCAUCAUAAAUUCGAUAAAGGACUACGCCGUCACAGAUGCUUAUAUGAAAAUGUUUGAAACCCUCUAUCGUAGCGAAAAAGUUACUGGAUACAUUUUCCGCCAAAAGGAAGAAAUUCCAGUUGCUGCUGAGCAGCUACCUGUCAGUUCUUUCACAGCAACAAAUGGUGUUGAAUAUUCAAGUAGCGACGUACGCUACAAGAACCGACCAAUGGAGGGAUAUGUAGUGUUUUUUCAGGGCGCCACAGACAAAAUGUAAAGUUUCAAGAAAUCGGCCGAGUCAGAAGAGGCAAGAAAAAAAGAAGACAAGAAAAAGAUUGAAAUCAAUGAUUAAAGGCAGCAGUUUGAUCUUUUGGGAGUUCAACAGUCCAAAAUCAAAAGUGAGAUAGCGAAACUUCAAGAAGAGAAGAUGAAAUCUGUUGCGUUGUCCAAAUUGAAUUAGACAAGAUCACCAAGAAAAAAUUCUGGGUUAAAAAAGAGUAUACUUAUCCUAAGGGAAAUGAGUAUGCUUGUACAUUGCUGGUGUAUUUACCAGGCUUAAAACACAAGGUCACAAUAAUUGAUUGCAUUAAGGACUACGCUAUCACGGAUGCCUACCAAAAGAUGUUUGAACUCCUUUAUCGACGUGGAAAAGUUACUCGUUUCAUUUUUCGCGAGAAGUUACAACUUCCUGUUAAUUCUACAAGUUGCACAGCAACAAAUGGUUAAUAAAGCACACAGAAAAAGAAAUUUGUACUUGCAGACGUUGUAAGAAAGACUUCAAAGCAAAAAAUGAAUUACGCUUGCACAAUGAAGAGAUGCACCAAUCAUUUUCCUGUGAAUUUUGCCAUUCAAUGUUUAUGGGUUCAGGCGGCCUGGAGAAACAUCUUCAAAAGGGAGAGCAAAGAAACGAUGUGUGCCCAAAGAAAAACUUAUAGAAAAAUGUGAAGCUAAAUUGAACUGCAAGUCCCGUAUAUGAAUAAAGCAAACCCAUAUUUCCUAUUCUUCCCAUUCUUCCCUCGGACGAAUUACUCUGUGGAUUAUUCCCCGAAAAACGUAAACAACACUUUUCCAAGAUUGUUUUUAAGUAAACUGGAAUUCAGAAAAAAAGACAAAUACAUUACAAAAUUUC